rnacentral:misc_RNA from 1 species
AACGCACCUUGCGCUCCUUGGUAUUCCGAGGAGCAUGCCUGUUCGAGUGUCUUUUAACCAAUCGACCCCAAUAGUUUGGGGCUCGGAUCUUUGGACGUUCCUGCGGUUCCCUCUCGGGUGCUGCUCGUCCCAAAUUCAUUAGCUGUGAUUACACAAAAGGCUGGCUUGUGGAGUGUAAAAAAUGCUUCCAUACAGCACAAGUGUCGUGGCUACCAAUGGUCUGUAGACAAUCUAUACCUUUGGCCUCGAAUCAGGUAGGACUACCCGCUGAACUUAA